rnacentral:rRNA from 1 species
CCUACGGGGCGCAGCAGUGGGGAAUAUUGGACAAUGGGCGAAAGCCUGAUCCAGCAAUGCCGCGUGUGUGAAGAAGGUCUUCGGAUUGUAAAGCACUUUUGACGGGGACGAUGAUGACGGUACCCGUAGAAGAAGCCCCGGCUAUCUUCGUACCAGCAGCCGCGGUAAUACGAAGGGGGCUAGCGUUGCUCGGAAUGACUGGGCGUAAAGGGCGCGUAGGCGGUUUAUGCAGUCAGAUGUGAAAUCCCCGGGCUUAACCUGGGAACUGCAUUUGAGACGCAUAGACUAGAGGUCGAGAGAGGGUUGUGGAAUUCCCAGUAUAGAGGUGAAAUUCGUAGAUAUUGGGAAGAACACCGGUGGCGAAGGCGGCAACCUGGCUCGAUACUGACGCUGAGGCGCGAAAGCGUGGGGAGCAAACAGGAUUAGAUACCCUGGUAGUC